UCUGCCCUAUCAACUUUCGAUGGUAGGAUAGUGGCCUACCAUGGUGUCAACGGGUAACGGGGAAUUAGGGUUCGAUUCCGGAGAGGGAGCCUGAGAAACGGCUACCACAUCCAAGGAAGGCAGCAGGCGCGCAAAUUACCCAAUCCCGACACGGGGAGGUAGUGACAAUAAAUACUGAUACAGGGCUCUUUUGGGUCUUGUAAUUGGAAUGAGUACAAUCUAAAUCCCUAACGAGAAUA
rnacentral:rRNA from 1 species